rnacentral:lncRNA from 1 species
UACUAGCAGAUCUAACAAAAUAUAAACUCUUAUACUGACCGUACCUAAUGUAAGUAGUACAAAAUUUAAUGGCUAGUAUCUGAGAUCUUUAGUUCAAAUUAUAAUUGAUUCAUAUUUUUAGCUAAAUUUAUUUCUAAAAAAAUAAGCGAAGCAGAUUGCGUACUAUCUUUCUCUCUAAAAAAAAACAAAAUAUAAACUUUUUUGACCUUAUUUGAUAAUAUAGUGGUUAAAACU